rnacentral:rRNA from 1 species
GAUGAACGCUAGCGGGAGGCUUAACACACGCAAGUCGAGGGGCAUCACGAGGUAGCAAUACUUUGGUGGCGACCGGCGCACGGGUGAGUAACACGUAUGCAACCUUCCCUGUACAGGGGGAUAACCCGGAGAAAUUCGGACUAAUACCCCAUGAUGAUAUUUAUGGGCAUCCAUUAAUAUUUAAAGCUCUGGCGGUACAGGAUGGGCAUGCGCGACAUUAGCUAGUUGGUAAGGUAACGGCUUACCAAGGCUACGAUGUUUAGGGGACCUGAGAGGGUUGUCCCCCACACUGGUACUGAGACACGGACCAGACUCCUACGGGAGGCAGCAGUGAGGAAUAUUGGUCAAUGGGCGCAAGCCUGAACCAGCCAUCCCGCGCGAAGGAAGAAUGCGCUACGCGUUGUAAACUUCUUUUCCAGGGGGAGAAUAAUCCUGUCGUGACAGGACUUGACGGUACUCUGGGAAUAAGCAUCGGCUAACUCCGUG